CGCCCAGUCCGGCAACCGCACGGGAGGUCUCUCCCCCUAGACUGUGCUCCAUGGGGUGGACCCAGGCCUUGUGCUGUUUUUACUUAUAUCCCCCAUGGAGACCAGAGCUAGGCACAGAGUACAGCAGCACCCCAACUUUCAGCCGGUUACCCAUACAUCUCUCAUGUCAUUAAGAACAAUGAAACUAUAGCACACACACAUUCCAGUGGAAAAAAAUAAUUUUCAAAGUUCCCUGGAGUUCGUUGCAGUGGAAUCCAUGGCCCAGGAGGAAGAGGUUUAGUUCAGCCUGGAAGGAGGGCAUCCCAUCUGAGCCGAGACCUCUUUGAGGGUCCUUGUAUGUCACCUGCUGUCUGUCGCUGGUUCGCCUUCUGGCAUCUUUGAUACCUCCCCAGUCAGAGACCUCUGUUUGUGCCAAGAAGUCAUCUGCUGUGUCUUCAAACAAGACCGUAGGAGGCAGAGCCUCUGGUGCUGGCACAUCGCAGAAGCUAAUACCUCGUCACCAACGGAGUGAAGAGACCACGGCUUUCCCCUUUCCUUCCUGUAUUCCAGCUUGCAUGGAUGCCAGCAGAAUUCAAUCUAAAGUGGAAAGAGAAAAGUAAACAAACCUGAGAACUUUCUGGAUCUCUGCAGAGCUGGGCACUUUGCCAGUACAGGUUUUAUUGGAGGGAAGUGGUGGGUUGCUUCCUCGUGUUCCCAUCGCACAGGCUGGAGUAAACUAGCUCCGUAAGCAGGCUUGCCUUUGGCCGACAGAUGACAACGUGUCUGCAUGUAGACAUAGACUUUACAAAGGGCUAGAGAUGGCUGGUGGUUCUCAUGGGGAGAUGGCCCUGAGGCUGAUCAGUGUCAUUCCAGUCAAAGGGCUGCCUCUUAGGGGCACGUGACAUCCCCCAGCACCCGACCUGCCCGGACAACCAGCCACCAGGCAGACAGGAGUGAGGGGGUGAACGAAGUAUGGACUGAAUCCACAGCCUACCUGGACAACCUCACCACGAAGACAGGAGUGAGGAGGUGAACGCAGUGUGGACUGAAUCCACAGCCUGCCUGGACAACCUCACCACGAAGACAGGAGCGAGGGGGUGAACACAGUGUGGACCAAAUCCACAGUCUGUCUGGACGACCAGCCACCACGCAGACAGGAGCGAGGGGGUUAACGCAGUGUGGACCGAAUCCACAGUCUGUCUGGAUGACCAGCCACCACGCAGACAGGAGCGAGGGGGUGAACGCGGUGUGGACCGAAUCCACAGUCUGUCUGGACGACCAGCCACCACGCAGACAGGAGCAAGGGGGUUAACGCGGUGUGGACCGCUGUCAUGGCUCACAGCAGCCUCAACCUCCUGGGCUCCAGUGAUCCUCCUGCCUCAGCCUCCCAAAGCACUGAGACGAACAUAGACGCAGGCACACAUGCACACAGGCUGUGAAAUGUAUGUCUCCAAGUGGCUGCGGGCCCCUGAAGGGCUGCUGCAGCCCUGGGGCUUUGCUCUUCAGAGCCAUGUCGAGGGAGCAGUAGCGGGAGCCACAUGUGACCCCCAGAUCCAGACAGAGACCACUUCCAGCCCCCAGGAGGCCCACACUCCCCUCCACUCCACAGCGCCCCCAAAGGUGCCCACGUCUCUGACCCCCACCCUGGGUGAGUAGGAGCACGUAGCAGGUGCCCCUGUAAUUAAAAAAAGCAAUCUUCGUGUCAGCUCCUCCCUGGCAGACUUAGCCUGCCAGAGCUAAUGAGACAGGCCACCCUUCAGCCAACCUCA
rnacentral:lncRNA from 10 species